rnacentral:rRNA from 1 species
UGACCUGAACUCAGACGUGACU